rnacentral:lncRNA from 1 species
GCAACGAAAAUUUACAUUUUCAUGCCGCUCAUACCGCGACCUCACCACGAUCUUUAUUUAUUUCAGAUCGUGGUGAGCGUGAUGCGAUCGUGGUCUAGUGGGACUGGGGCUUAAACAUGAUUAUAAUCUGCAAAUCUUAGGACAAUGUUGCAUUUAAUUACUCACACUUGUAAAAAUUAAAUAAUUAUAAAAAUGAAAACGAAUAAUCCAUUCAUGGGACCAAUUUCUCAUUCAGUCUUUGCAUGUGCUCUCCACGUGGCGAUGCAAUAUGGUUA